rnacentral:piRNA from 1 species
UUUUCAAAAUUUUCUGAAAUA